UUAACUUAUUGUAUAGUACUCAGACGACAGCAUUCAGAGUUUGGGGGUCUCUGGCGAGCGCUGGCCAGCUGACGCCGGCAGCCGCGAGGCAGGCUCGCCAAAGCAACAAGGUGUGGUAAGCAAAGGGUGGGAGAUCUACCCCGAAGGGCAAGUUCUCUUUAGUGAUCCUUCCGCAGGUUCACCUACGGAAA
rnacentral:misc_RNA from 1 species